AUCAACCUACGGGGCGCAGCAGUGAGGAAUAUUGGUCAAUGGGCGGGAGCCUGAACCAGCCAAGCCGCGUGAGGGAAGAAGGUACAGCGUAUCGUAAACCUCUUUUGUCAGGGAACAAAGGCGGGGACUAGUCCCCGGAUGAGGGUACCUGAAGAAAAAGCAUCGGCUAACUCCGUGCCAGCAGCCGCGGCAAUACGUAGGUGGCAAGCGUUAUCCGGAUUUAUUGGGUGUAAAGGGCGUGUAGGCGGGAGCGCCAGU
rnacentral:rRNA from 1 species